rnacentral:rRNA from 1 species
AUGAAUAUCAAGAGUUGUGGAGCUGUUGUGAGCUUGAGAAAGUGGUCGGAGUCUAUGGGUGCCAAGGGUGUACUUAACAUUGCUUGGGUCAAUGUUAGCAACAUUCCUUUGGAUAAGGGACAUGAGAAGAACAUCGCUUAUGUGGGCUCUUUGGUUGGGGUGACCCUAGAAAUUGAUCAAUCCACUGUUAGCAGACCUGAAUCUGUUAGAAUUAAGCUGGGAUGUAGAGAUGCUGAGAAUAUUCCUGCUAAGGCUGAGGGGGUAUUGGGUGGUCAUUUUUAUGACUUUUUUACUCUGUGGAUAAGAUCUUAG